GCUCACCUCAAAAGGAUUAGCUGGACUUGUCUAAAGACCUGGUUCGACUUGGUGUGAUAAGUAUUUCGCUGAGUACAUCCCUUGUGGGUGGCCAGACCUUGCAGGACUCUAAUGUCUGCUCUCUAACCGUGAUGGCUCUGGCCCCAACCACUUUUUUAUGAUCUGGCCUCAAAUCAGGUAGGACUACCCGCUGAACUUAA
rnacentral:misc_RNA from 1 species